CAUCGUUCUGGCGCGGUGCGCGCGAGGCGCUGGUGACGGCUUUUGCCACCAGUUCCAGUUCGGCAACAUUGCC
rnacentral:tRNA from 1 species